GUUUAAGAUAGAAUUAUUUUCACACACUGCAAAAGAAAGGGGAACAAAAAAAGAGAAAAUUACAUCCAACUACUCUAUUUUCUUCCUGAUAUGCUCUCUUUUUUUUUUUUUUUUUUAAGGGGGGGGGGGGGACGGGAAUUCCAGUUUCCCCAAACAAUUUUUUUUUUUUUUUCUGAUCCACUGGUGCAGGUGAAGUUGAUUUAUCAGGCUUAGAGGACUUUCCCUCUUCAUUGUUUCCCAUGGUCAAGCACCGGAGGAAAUCCUUAAUUAAUUUGGAGAAGCAGAACAAUUUUUGCUUCUCUUUGUUUAGAAAACUUAGUCACCUUUAACUAUCAAAUCCCAAAUCUGCUUCUUUUCGCCUUCCGGAAAAAAAAUAAGAAAUUAAGAAGCUAUUAGAAACUUCAAUGCUUGAAUAAUCUUUAACUAUUCACCAAAGCUCAAAUUACUUGGUAAAAACCAUAAAGUAACUUCACAGCUUCUGCAUUUUUCUCUCU
rnacentral:misc_RNA from 1 species